CUAGGAGUCAUCUACCUUCCCGAUCGUGCGGGAAACCGGGAGUUUCAUGGCGAUCCAAACACCAGCCGAAAAGGGUACUCGCCUAUUUCAGACCACCCCCUCCUCCUCCUUUGAGUUCCAUCAACGACUAACCGAGAUUUCGCAGCCGAUCCCAAGCUCUUCUUCGGGUUUUCUCCUCCAAUUUCCGCCGGGAAGAAUCGCCCGAUCGUCGUCGGACUGAGGAGAGGACGCAGGAAGGAAAACCAUUUCUCUCUCCUACGCUCAGUCAAUGUAUUGACUCAUAACUGUCAAGAAAUGAGGACAAUGGUCUGACCUCAGGUCUUGUCCAAUGGCCUCAUCAACCUCAGUAUGUUGGCCUCUAUGCAAAUGACACAACACUACAAGGAAAUAGGUGUCUACCAGCGUGACAAAGUGCCUCUGGAUGUAAAAAAGCAUGCCACUAAUACCUUCAGCGGCAUUUUUAUCAAAUAUCAGACUUAAUGCCGCCAAUAAUUAUGUCGCUAAUUUUUCAGCGACUCCUUCAUAUCGCAGCAAAAAAUACAUAUUUUUUAACAGCAUUUUUUUGAUAUUUAUCACUAUUUUUCGAAAUGCUGCACAUUUUUUUAGCAGCACAUCCAAAAUGCCACACAAAGAAAUGGUAGAAGGGAAUGUACCAAAUACGGCAUGUAUAAGUGUCGGUGAAGGUUAAUUGGUGGCGUUCCAAAAUGCUUGUAAAACAUUAUUAAUCUACGGCAUGUUUAUGAAAGCUGCUAGAAAUCUCUUUUAAGCAGCAUUUUUUAU